rnacentral:rRNA from 1 species
CGAGUUCUGAUUAUUGAAGGGUGCUUGCAUCUUGAUUUAAUUUUGAACGAGUGGCGGACGGGUGAGUAACACGUGGGUAACCUGCCCUUAAGUGGGGGAUAACAUUUGGAAACAGAUGCUAAUACCGCAUAAAUCCAAGAACCGCAUGGUUCUUGGCUGAAAGAUGGCGUAAGCUAUCGCUUUUGGAUGGACCCGCGGCGUAUUAGCUAGUUGGUGAGGUAACGGCUCACCAAGGCAAUGAUACGUAGCCGAACUGAGAGGUUGAUCGGCCACAUUGGGACUGAGACACGGCCCAAACUCCUACGGGAGGCAGCAGUAGGGAAUCUUCCACAAUGGACGCAAGUCUGAUGGAGCAACGCCGCGUGAGUGAAGAAGGCUUUCGGGUCGUAAAACUCUGUUGUUGGAGAAGAAUGGUCGGCAGAGUAACUGUUGUCGGCGUGACGGUAUCCAACCAGAAAGCCACGGCUAACUACGUGCCAGCAGCCGCGGUAAUACGUAGGUGGCAAGCGUUAUCCGGAUUUAUUGGGCGUAAAGCGAGCGCAGGCGGUUUUUUAAGUCUGAUGUGAAAGCCCUCGGCUUAACCGAGGAAGUGCAUCGGAAACUGGGAAACUUGAGUGCAGAAGAGGACAGUGGAACUCCAUGUGUAGCGGUGAAAUGCGUAGAUAUAUGGAAGAACACCAGUGGCGAAGGCGGCUGUCUGGUCUGUAACUGACGCUGAGGCUCGAAAGCAUGGGUAGCGAACAGGAUUAGAUACCCUGGUAGUCCAUGCCGUAAACGAUGAAUGCUAGGUGUUGGAGGGUUUCCGCCCUUCAGUGCCGCAGCUAACGCAUUAAGCAUUCCGCCUGGGGAGUACGACCGCAAGGUUGAAACUCAAAGGAAUUGACGGGGGCCCGCACAAGCGGUGGAGCAUGUGGUUUAAUUCGAAGCAACGCGAAGAACCUUACCAGGUCUUGACAUCUUUUGAUCACCUGAGAGAUCAGGUUUCCCCUUCGGGGGCAAAAUGACAGGUGGUGCAUGGUUGUCGUCAGCUCGUGUCGUGAGAUGUUGGGUUAAGUCCCGCAACGAGCGCAACCCUUAUGACUAGUUGCCAGCAUUUAGUUGGGCACUCUAGUAAGACUGCCGGUGACAAACCGGAGGAAGGUGGGGAUGACGUCAAAUCAUCAUGCCCCUUAUGACCUGGGCUACACACGUGCUACAAUGGAUGGUACAACGAGUUGCGAGACCGCGAGGUCAAGCUAAUCUCUUAAAGCCAUUCUCAGUUCGGACUGUAGGCUGCAACUCGCCUACACGAAGUCGGAAUCGCUAGUAAUCGCGGAUCAGCACGCCGCGGUGAAUACGUUCCCGGGCCUUGUACACACCGCCCGUCACACCAUGAGAGUUUGUAACACCCGAAGCCGGUGGCGUAACCCUUUUAGGGAGCGAGCCGUCUAAGGUGGGACAAAUGAUUAGGGUGAAGUCG